GCUCGUCUAGACUAAUUAAUAAUAUUUCGUGCCUAGCGCUAAGUUAUACAAAGGCAGCCGGCGAAAAGCGGCAAAAUAUCAGCAGCAAUAAACAAAAUAAAUUCGCUGGCAUUUGUUUUAUGUUAAAAUGGGGAAAAAAUUGGAAACUGAGCCCUGAGCCAACUGACAAAGCCCUCAUUGUCUCCUGGGCCCACACAAACUGAGAUUAAUACGCAGAUUACAGCCAAGUUAUAAUUACUGGCGUCCCGAAGCGAAAAUAGGCGAGUAGAGCUGAGUAAAUUGAGCUGUCAAGUGUGCAGAUGAAAGGAGAUCGUGAAAUGGUGAGACCAUGGAAAUUGCGUGUAAUCGCCAAGCGAAAAGCGAAACUGAGUACCAAUGCCUAGACUAAUGGCGUUUUAUUUUUCGCUAGACUACGAACUCAAUUAGCUGCCGUGCGUAGCGUAAUUAAGUUGAUGCCACGCCCAAUUCGAUAACCUAAACCUCUUCGGCCGCCCACUACCUGCCACUCCCACUGCCACGGCCACCUCUACCGCCCACCAAAUGAUCCAGUUUUAUGCCACCUGACGUCGCCUGGCGAUGUGUAUGCAAAAACAUUACACGAAAUGCUUUGGAGCUGCCUUAAAUUAAUUUAUCACGUGCCGAAAUAAAGCAACUACCGGUGGCUUCCUUCCCCUGCA